rnacentral:miRNA from 1 species
AAAUUAGUCACUAGAAACCAAGCA